UACGGGGGGGGCAAGCGUUGUUCGGAAUUACUGGGCGUAAAGGGCUCGUAGGCGGCCAACUAAGUCAUACGUGAAAUCCCUCGGCUUAACCGGGGAACUGCGUCUGAUACUGGAUGGCUUGAGUUCGGGAGAGGGAUGCGGAAUUCCAGGUGUAGCGGUGAAAUGCGUAGAUAUCUGGAGGAACACCCGUGGCGAAAGCGGCUCUCUGGGACGGUACUGACGCUGAGACGCGAAAGCGUGGGGAGCGAACGGG
rnacentral:rRNA from 1 species